AACGCACAUUGCGCCCGCUAGUAUUCUGGCGGGCAUGCCUGUUCGAGCGUCAUUUCAACCCUCAAGCCCCCGGGCUUGGUGCUGGGGAUCGGCCGUCACGGGCCGGCCCCGAAAUCGAGUGGCGGUCUCGCUGUAGCCUCCUCUGCGUAGUAGCAACACCUCGCACUGGAACGCGGCGCGGCCACGCCGUAAAACCCCCAACUUCUGAAGGUUGACCUCGGAUCAGGUAGGAAUACCCGCUGAACUUAA
rnacentral:misc_RNA from 1 species